ACCUUUUCUGGCCUUUUGGCUUAGAUCAAGUGUAGUAUCUGUUCUUAUCAGUUUUGAUUACUGAUAGUUGUUCAACGAACAACAUCCAAUCAAAUCUUAUCUUUCAUUGCCAGGGUGUGCAGUUCUGGGGCUUGCCCUCCUGCCUCCCAAGAUGUCCGUGCUAUCUCACUUCCAGCACGGUACGUCACUGGCGC
rnacentral:snRNA from 2 species